AGUAUGUUGUUCUUUCAGCAAAUGGGCUUUUAUGGUUAACAAUUAACCAAUUACCAUAUUAGUUGAUGACUAUGUCAAUAAUCAAUUCAUCACAAUUAAUCUGAUUAAUCAUUUCAGCCCUAGUCUGUAAUAACCCGAACAGGUCUGACCCAAAGACCUGCUUAACACAUGCACAUCUUUCACUCGAUUAGACGAAUUUCUUUUUAGUGAUUCAGCCAGAACUCGGAUCCAGGUGAGUCACAGAAGCAGCUGCUAGAUUCUGGCUUGACGUUUGAAACACAAUCUGUUUGCUGCUCCAGAAAGCCCAAAGCAGUGUGGGUGUGUGUGUGGGUGUGUGUGAGAUCACUUAUCCAUGUAAGGAGCCUCAACUGCUAUCACAACGCCAAACAAAGACAGAUCAGAGUGAGACCUCCUCCGUUCAUGUCUUUGUUCCUGUAAUCACUGCAAGGAGGAAAAGCGCAGCGGCUGAGGCUUCUGGAGUUCAUUACUACAGCAGAGGGAAGAUUUCAGAACGACGGGCGACAGCAGUAACGGCGCCUCUCGGCCUGAGAGAAGAUCAUCUGAACAAAGUUCAGAAUCAGUUAACCUUCAGAGGCUCCAGAUCUUAAAGAGAGAGGAUGAUGCGAGCGGCCGCUUCGCUGCUGCGUGUACAUCCGCCGCUUGCUCUACUUUCCUGUCCGAGGUUUUUCUGAGGGAGGAAAAACUCCGCUGCAGACCGUAAAACACCGAGGUUCUGUCAGGAUUCUCCUGCUGGAUUCACCCGAUAACAGAUCUGGAAAUAAUUCUGCAGCCAAUAGCAUAUUCACAAAAGCAACCGUCGGGUGAUUAAAUAUGUCAACAUAAUUGCUCUCAUUGGGCAACAGGAUGAUAAGGGAGAGAAACUCAGGGCAAUAAUGGGGGGAAUUAUGGAUACAGGAAAUCAAUUUGUAAUCAAUUUGUUUUAUUUCUGUUCAAUUUUAGUGAGACUCUGCUAAAUGUUGUAGUAACAACCUAAUAACAACUUGAGAGUAUACUUAUUCAUAAUAAAAAAAAAUAAAGCGCAACGACAUACAAGAAAAGGUCAUCAGUCAACAUUUCUGAAAAUCUUUUAUAUUUAUUGACACGGUUUGUUGGAAAGAACAUUAGAAAAUCAUUUCAAUAACUAAACCUUACCAUGAUAUUCCCGAAUAUUUAAUUAAAAUUAUAUUCUUAAUUUUAUAUCCUAUCACAAGAUUCAGACUUUUUGUGAAGAAAAUGAACUCCAUUACACUAAAUUGUUAUUGUUUAACUUCAAAUUUAUUGUUCACUUAGAAAUUAUGUAUAAAAUACAUAUUUUUAUUGUGCCUGGCUGGAAUAGUUUUAAUUGAUUUGUUAAUUUGAUUAGGGUUUUUUUAUUAUUAUUAUUAAUUGAUGAUAGAUAGCAUUAGUCACUGAACCACAGUUAUGAUUACAUCAUUAUGCUUUUUUUAAAAUGUGAUUAGUUGCAUCCUUUGCAGAAAUACAGUCGCUGAACAUAUUUUUUAAAAAGCCAUACGCUCAGGGAGAGUCACUUUGAUUACAUUCUGAUCUUAUUUAAACUUAAUAUCAGCUGCCUUAAUCUGAUCUCACACAGCUCAAAGACAGUAGCCUGGACGUUGUCAUGAUGUUAUCUGUUCCUCCACUUUUCUCACAUCUUUGCUGAGCUGUCACAGAUUCCUUCAUGUCUUCUGACGUUUUUUUUUGUGUGUCUCCUGUCGUGACACAAAACGAGGAGCAGAUCAUUUGACAUGAACUGUGGAUGAAUCUGCGUUUUCAGACUGUAACAUUUCUUUCACCUAACAGUUGAGUUUUUUUAUGUUUCUACGGAGGACAUUUUUAUACUUAAUUAAAUUCAAACAUUAUUUUCUAACGGGUUUUUUUCUGACUGUUUUGAAUGCAUUUGGUUUUCUUUUAGUCCAUUCUCGCCGCUCUCCCUGCCUCACUGUGUGAUUUAUUUUUUUUUGCUUUAGUUUUAAAUAACUAAUUCCAAAUUUGUAGAUUUCCAAUAGUAAAAUAUGAUUAGCCAACAUGUUGCUAAGCAACCUCAUUCACCACAAAGCUCCAUGUGUGUGUGUGUGUGUGUGUAUGUGUGGGUCAUCAUGAGACAAAACUGCUGCAUCUGUUUCUUCUGCCAAACCACAAAUAAUGAGGAUCAUGUUUGAAAUGUUUACACACUCACACACACACACACACACACACACACACCCAACGAAAACUACCAACCUCGUCUUUUUCGUGCUGUUUUUUUUUUUUUUUGGGGAUCACUUCCUCUUCCUGUGACAGAAGUCUUUAUAUUUAGCCGCCAUCUGCGCCCCCUCGCUCUCCCUAAACUUCCGCCCCUGCCCCUGAAACGCACGUCUGUAAGGAUCCACAGUGACAGAGAGCAUUCAGCACUGAUUGGCGCAAAGUCUACAUUAAUUCACCAUGCUUAACACAAAGCAAACACAGAGCCAGGAGCAUAAAUCCUGCAGCUGGAACCUUUUCACUCUCAUCAGCGCACACCUGUCCCGUUUUGGCCUGGGAAGCUGCCAGUUUUUCACCCCCCUUUUCCCGCCGUGCUCACGUAUCAUUAUUUUCCCGUAAAUGUCCCGGAUAGUGCCAGCCACUCUCACGUGUUAGUUGCUCUCCCGGCUCUUACGUGUGCAAUUGUCUUCCUCUCGCUCGUCACUCCUUGUUCAUUUAUACAUUUGAGAACAGAAGUGGUUCGCGUACACAGCCGUGCGGUACACCUGUCCGUCAGCGAUAAUGUUUUUCUCUGUUUUUGUAGCUUCACCAGCCUCUUCUAGAGCAGUUGACAUUAUGUCAGUGAAUCAGGGGCUGGGAGGCGUUCACAAUGAACCUCAUAAUAUGGAAUACUACUUUAAUAGAUUUAUUAAAUGUUGAUGCUGACCCACUAAUAUGUCGGGUUUAGGUGUCGUAGAAAAAUUCGGACUCCUUCAGCUGUGCCUGUACCAAGAGAAUCGAUACUUCAUCAGAGGUGUUCAUUAUACUUCAUGUUUGAUGCGAAAUGUGUUGUUAUUCAAACAACUGUUUCUGCUCUGAAAUUUUCCAUAGAUCCAACUCUCUAAGCAAUAUACAAAUACAGCGAUAUUACAAAUAAGUCAUUUUAAGUCAAAUACAUUGUUGGCAAAAUAUCAAAAUGUCCUCCAUAGAAAGUCACUGCUUCAGUGCCAAAGCAGUGGGAAAUAUUCAAGAUAUUCCUGUCACAAUGCUUGACUUCCAGACUGAUGUCUGGGAAUUUUCCCGACCUGCAGGAUAUAACCAACCCUGCCGACGGAUGAGCGACCAUCAUUUGAAGACAAAUAAGGAAAUAAAGCAUGCAUAGAAUUGUAUUUCUGCAUCCUAAUCUAAAGAGACAACUUUUAUCUAAAAAAAAAGAAGAAGAAGAAGAAGAAGAAGAAGAAAAACGGCUUUUAUUCAUGUAGCUUCUCUGGUUAAGUAGAUAGAGAAAGGAAUGAAGACGUCAUGUGAGAAUUUCAACUAGAGAGAUUUUUGUUUCCGUCUGACAUUAUUACUCUUAUGGACAACGUAGUAGUAAUUUUUUAAAAAUGGAUCAAUAUGAUGAUCUCUUUGAAUAGUCUAAUAAGUUGUAAAACAAAAAAAAAA